rnacentral:lncRNA from 1 species
GUCAUUAUAUCAAGGGUCGUCUCGACAUGCAUAUCAAGUUAUGAAUAAAAACUCAUAAUGAAAUUGCAUUUAGGCCAACAAUUUAGGGUCAUCAAGGGAGAUAUAUUCAAUUUUCACAUCUAUGGUCACCAAGGCACAAAACCAUCAAUCCAAUUUACCAUUAUGAAAAAACAUUGCAUAGUCAUUGCAUCUAGGGUCAACUCACCUUGCAUUUAUGAAUAAGCAUUCAUAUUGAAAUUGCAUUCAGACCAACAAUUUAGGGACAUCGAGCGACAUAUACUCACAAAGAGCUUCACCAACAUCCACUCCAAAAAGAAGGGCAAUCCAUUCUAUCUUUGAAAACACAAAUUGACCAAGUUCAUCACAGAUUCAUAUUCCAGUGUCAAGUCUGUUUAAAUUUGACGAAAAGGAUGCAUCAAUAUUACAUUUGAAUCGUCCCAGAGUCGGCCUUUUCCAAUAAACAGCAGCAGAAUCUAUUUGUGCCGCGGUCGCAUUAUGCAAAGCACCAAGUGGUAUCAGAGAUUUGAUACAGGCGAACCUGCAAAAUCUGAAAGGAUUUGCCGAGUCAUUGAAGGUCCAAUCAAGAAGCUUAAAAUUCUUUUCUAUUUCAACAUUAAUAAUGAAAUUGCAUUUAGGCCAACAAUUUAGGGGUUUGAGGCUCAAAUAUCAAAUUUUGCAUUCAAACUCAUCAUGAGACAUAUGCUCAAUUUCGCAUCUAAGGUAACCAAAAGCACACUACCAUCAUGCCAAUUUAUCACUAUUAAGAAAACAUCAUAGAGUCACUGUAUCAAGAGUGGUCUCAACAUGCAUAUCAAGUUAUGAAUAAAAAUUCAUAAUAAAAUUGAAUCUAGGGUCAUCAAAGGACAUAUGUUCAAUUUUCGCAUCUAAGGUCACUCAACGUGAAAUCAUCAUCCCAAUUUACUAUUACGAAAAAGCAUAGUAUAGCCAUCGUUUCAAGGGUCACAUAUUCAAGUUAGGGACACAGAGGGACAUAUCUUCAAGUUAGUCAUCUCGACUUGCAUUUAAAGUUAUGAAUAAGCAUUCACAUUGAAAUUCCAUUCAGACAAUCAAUCUAGGGACAUCAAGGGACAUAUACUCAAUUUCGCAUCAAAGGCACGAAGGCACACAACCCUCUUCACAAUAUACCGUAAUAAGAAAAUCAUUAUCAACUUGCAUUUUGAAUAAACAUUCAUAUUUCAAAUUACAUUUAGACCCUCAAAAUUUUCAUGUAUACCAUCCUGAUUUCAUAUGAAUAAAGAAUUCAUAUUGUAAGCCACAUAUUUGGUCAAAAAAUUCAUCUCAUUGGGUCAUCCAAACACAAUAUCCCAUGACUUGUCUUAAGAAUUUUUUUAGCAACAACACAAUUUCUUAGGCCAAAUUACCUUCUUAGGUAUGAAAAAUCAAGAUUCGCCAAUUUACCACACUCUUGGAUGAUACAAAAAACUACCCAAAACAACAGCUAUGUCAAACAAUAGUUUGAAGAAUCUGUUACUUCAUGAAAGACAAAAGUGAGUCAAAUCAAUUAAAAAAAAAUCCAAAAGAUACAGGAUAAAAUUUGAAACAAAGAUGUAGAAGUGAUAAAAAUCACAAGAACUCAAAGUGAUACAAGCAACACUGCUAAACUUGAAAGGGUUUGCAGAGUCAUUGAAGGUCCAAUCAAGAAGCUUAAAAUUCUUUUCUAUUUCUACAUUAAUAGCCAACAAUUAGGGGUUAUAAGGCUCAAAUAUAGAAUGCAGUCAUCAAGCGACAUAAACUCAAUUUCACAUAUAAGGUAACCAAAAGCACACUACCAUCAUGCCAAUUUAUCAUUAUUAGAAAAGCAUCAUAAAAGUCAUUCUAUCAAAGGUCGUCUCGACAUGCAUAUCAAAUUUUGAAGCUUAUGUAUAUAACUUCAAUCUAGUUUCUUGUGUUAUAUAGUUUAUUAACCCACAAAUCUUGCUGCAUUGCUGAAGAGCAAUCUAUUUUCUAUUUCAUUAUCAUGAAUCAUUUCCUGCUUUGAUUAGCAAACUCAAUUGUGUUAUAUAGUUUAUUAACCCACAAAUCUUGCUGCAUUGCUGAAGAGCAAUCUAUUUUCUAUUUCAUUAUCAUGAAUCAUUUCCUGCUUUGAUUAGAAAACUCAAUUGUGCUUUACAUUGCUUUUGAUAAAACAAAUAGAUGGCUAGCUAGUACUAAUUUACUUCUGUUAAUAGCUUUUAUCAAUGAGCACAGAGUAUAACUCAUUUUGGACUGGUUGUAGACUUCAUUUCUUUGUAGUCUCUUUGGAGAUUGAAAUGAAUGGUACUUUGGUUCUGGGAUCGGCUCAAUUUAUAUGGAACUAGGCAUCAGUUUUAAGGUUAAUUGCAAAUUUAUGAUUGUAAAAUUGCCAUUUCUGGUACUUAACGCCUGGUUUGCAAUCAUUGCAUAGAAAUGGAGUGAGUUUGGUAUAUUUUUAGAUAUACUGUUGAUUGCUAAGCGAUCAAGUGGCUGAAGUGUUUUGGAGGUUGUUAUCAACUUCUGCAUGCUAGUAAAGUUCUUUUCAUGGGAUUGACUCACUAAUUUGAAGGCCCUGACUCAGGGGAAUGGUCGACUAACAACUCAUGUUGUUCAUAUCUUCUGUUAUUGGCCUUUUUAAGCAAUCUAACCUUCAUCAUAAAAUAUCUGUUUAUAGCUUUUCCUAUUAAAGAAUUGAGUUUUGAAAUAUUAAAAGCUCUUAUAACCUGCUGUAGCAAGUCAAACUGGUGGUACACCAGUACACUGCAUCUAAAGUUCUGCUGCACCAUAUCCACGUAGGCGGUGACCUGGUUUUAUGAAAAUGUCACCAUAUCAAGUUUUGAAUAAAAAUUCAUAAUGAAAUUGAAUUUAGGCCAAAAAUAUAGAGUCAUCAAGGGACAAAUAUUCAAUUAUCGCAUCUAAGGUCACACAGCACAUAAUCAUCAUCCUAAUUUGCCAUUACUAAAAAGCAUACUAUAGUCAUUGCGUCAAGGGUCAUCUCCACUCACAUUUCAAGUUAUGACUAUGCAUUCACAUUGAAAUUACAGUCACUCAAACCAUCAACUUGGGUACAUCGAGGGACAUAUAUUCAAUAUAGGGACAUAGAGGGACAUGUAUUCAAUUUAGGGACAUCAAUGGGCUUAUAUACUAUUUUGCAUCCGUGGCGCCACGAGUCAUCUCCACUUACAUUUGUAGUUAUGAAUAAGCAUUCACAUUUAAAUUCCAUUCAGACCAUCAAUUUGGGACAUCGAGGGACAUAUACUCAAUUUCGUACCAAAGGCACCAAGGCACACAACCCUAUUCACAAUAUACUAAAAAUGUUCAUUUUCAGGCCAUCAAGGGACAUGCAUAUCAAUUUCAGACCAUCAAUUUAGGGACAUCUAGGGACAUAUUCAAGUUAGUGAAAUCGAGGGACAUAUGUUCGAUUUAGGGACAUUUGGGGACAUGUAUUCAAUAUAGGGACAUCGAUGGACAUAUAUACUAUUUAGCCUCUAUAGUUCCACAUGUCAUAUCCACUUACAUUUGAAGUUAUGAAUAAGCAUCCGCAUUGAAAUUCCAUUCAGGCCAUCAAUUUAGAGACAUGGACAGACAUAUAGUCGUCAUUUUAGGGACAUUGAGGGACAUAUAGCCAAUUUAGGGACAUCAAGGGACAUAUACUCAAUUUAGCAUCAAAGGCACCAAGGCACACAACCAUCUUGCCAAUGUAUCGCAACAAGAAAAUCGUUAUCAAGAUCCGACUUGCAUUUCGAAUAAACAUUCAUAUUUCAAAUUGCAUUUCAAAAUUUCCAUGCAUACCAUCCUGAUUCCAUAUGAAUAGUUUAAACNNNNNNNNNNNNNNNNNNNNNNNNNNNNNNNNNNNNNNNNNNNNNNNNNNNNNNNNNNAACAACAUUACAAGCAAAAGAAAUACAGAAAUCAAUUACAUGUGAAGUUAUAGCAACAUACUAACAUUGUGAAGGGGUAGAAUGGGACAUAUACUCAAUUUCACACCAAAGGCACACAACCCUCUUCACAAUAUACUAAAAAUGUUCAAUUUCAGACCAUCAAGGGACAUGCAUAUCAAUUUCAGGCCAUCAAUUUAGGGACAUCUAGGGACAUAUUCAAGUUAGUGAAAUCGAGAGACAUAUGUUCAAUUUAGGGACAUCUAGGGACAUGUAUUCGAUAUAGGGACAUCGAUGGACAUACAUACUAUUUUGCAUCUAUGGUGCCACAUGUCAUAUCCACUUACAUUUGAAGUUAUGAAUAAGCAUCCGCGUUGAAAUUCCAUUCAGGCCGUCAAUUUAGGGACAUCGACCGACAUAGACUCAAUUUAGCAUCAAAGGCACCAUGGAACACAACCAUCUUUCCAAUGUAUCGUAACAAGAAAAUCGUUAUCAAGUUUCGACUUGCAUUUCAAAUAAACAUUCAUAUUUCAAAUUGCAUUUAGACCAUCAAAAUUUCCCUGUAUACCAUCCUGAUUCCAUAUGAAUAGUUUAAGCAUAAGCACUAAACAUAAGCAUCAAUUUAGGGAUCAAUUUAGGGACAUCUAGGGACAUAUAUUCAAGUUAGUGAAAUCAAGGGACAUAUAUUAAAGUUAGGGACAUCGGUGGACAUACAUAUUAUUUUACAUCUAUAGCACCAAGUGGCAUCUUCACUUACAUUUGAAGUUAUGAAAGCAUUUACAUUGAAGCACCAUUAUGAUAAGUGUGUAUAGAAUAAUCUCUUAAUUAAAUCGCUUAUCCAGAGAGGGCCCAAAUAAAAUAAAAACAACAUUACAAGCAAAAAAAAUUACAGAAAUCAAUUACAUGUGAAGUUAUAGAAACAUACUAACAUUGUGAAGGGGUAGAAUGGAACUCAAGUGAAGAUAAAUGUCUUCCAGCAUCUGGUGACUUUAACAAGUUCCUACAAAUUCCACAUCAAAGGAUAGUAAUAAGUAUAUAACAACAACACACAAUCAAUCAAUAAUCAAUUUAAGUAAAAAAGCAAUAAAAUAAUAACCUUAGCAACAUCGUCGUUUAAUGGCUGAUGACAAACUGCAACGGUUUAUAAUUUUUUUUCCAUUUCUACAUCUCUCUUUCAAAUCGAAUCAAGACUUUUAGGGUUUACAAACACGAAAUCGUUAGAACAAAUGUUUUAGGGUUUGAGUAAUCAAGAUUCACGAUGAAACAACGAAUCAGUUUCGCAACACGAAACCGUAUAAAAAGGAUAUGAAAUAGUUCGAACAACGGAGAAGAAAUUGGGUGGAACGAAAGAUUGGUGGCAUUGUGGGUUUCUUACUAUAGGGUUGAAUGAAUCGAUGAUGAAUUUGAAUGAAAUUGAAUUCAAAGAAAACGGAACAAAGAAACCUAACACAAAGCCAUAAACCUGAUCAUGA